GAUGAACGCUGGCGGCGUGCCUAAUACAUGCAAGUCGAGCGAAUGGAUUAAGAGCUUGCUCUUAUGAAGUUAGCGGCGGACGGGUGAGUAACACGUGGGUAACCUGCCCAUAAGACUGGGAUAACUCCGGGAAACCGGGGCUAAUACCGGAUAACAUUUUGAACCGCAUGGUUCGAAAUUGAAAGGCGGCUUCGGCUGUCACUUAUGGAUGGACCCGCGUCGCAUUAGCUAGUUGGUGAGGUAACGGCUCACCAAGGCAACGAUGCGUAGCCGACCUGAGAGGGUAGUCGGCCACACUGGGACUGAGACACGGCCCAGACUCCUACGGGAGGCAGCAGUAGGGAAUCUUCCGCAAUGGACGAAAGUCUGACGGAGCAACGCCGCGUGAGUGAUGAAGGCUUUCGGGUCGUAAAACUCUGUUGUUAGGGAAGAACAAGUGCUAGUUGGAUAAGCUGGCACCUUGACGGUACCUAACCAGAAAGCCACGGCUGACUACGUGCCAGCCGCCGCAGUAA
rnacentral:rRNA from 1 species